GAGCUGCCAGCGAAGACUUUUUUUUUUUUUUUUUGCCUCCCCCCUUUCGCUGCCACUCACGUCGCAAAUAGCUACAGCUACGCGUUUUCAAGCGGUAUUGUGACUUUCAAGUUGAUCGUAGCUCUCUUUAUAUAUUUACCACGUGAAACGCUCGGAGUGUUUUGGCUCUGGAAGGAAAUGCUCAUCAAAAAGAAGGCUCUGGUUUAUGUGCCUUAAAGCGGGGAGAGUGGAGAGCAGAAGUGCUAAUCUUAUGGAUCGCAAACCGUAUAUAUUCUGCCGGGACAAUUUAUGUGAUACCCAGCCUCUUCUGGCAGCAUUCUUUCCCCACGGCUGCAGGCUGCAUGAAUUGUUCUGGCGGCAGCCGUCCCGGCUACCGUCUUUCACAGGGGCCAUCCAAAUCCCCUCCUGACAGCGGGGGCUGCCUGCCAGUGCAGCUCAUGCUGCCAUGGCCUAAGACUGAAUUACCUUGCUCUCUGUAAGACGGGGUUUUAUGCACACGCACUAAUGCACACUACAGCAGACACCUCUGGGAAAUUUCCAGUCUCCUGAGACUGUGCAGUGGAGUACGCUGCAUGUGAACACCGGGCAGAUCUAGCCAGCGCAUGGCUCUGCCUUGACAGUGGUACAAGCUGCCCGGAUUAUCCAGCUGCAAAGUUUGGGGAACACUCAUCCGAAUUAUCUUGAUGUUUUGUAGGUUGAAGUUCUAUCAAUGAACGCUUCAAUUAAGGGACUUUCUCUUGAUUUUCACCUUUUCACUUGCGUUAUCCUGAUCUGUGUGAUACUGCUUGCUUCAGAGGAGUACCUGUGUUUUUAUGAUUAAAGCAGCCGUCUCUGGGGAAGCCAGGUCUUUAUUGCUUUGAAGAUCAGAAACAAGACUUAGGCAUAGUGAGGAAAUAAUCUGCAAACCAUUGGGGGCGGUGAAGCUGCUACUAUUGAAGAGGGCUGUCUCGUUUUGCCAAAGCCGGAGUCUCCGCGUUCUUUACGCGCUUACCCAGAGGUUCAGUGAGUUACCGGUAAUUUGCUCUGCUAGGGAAGGGCAGGGGAACUGCAAUGGCCAGAUCUGUACCAGGAGGAGAAGUUUAGCUCGGGAAAAGAAGAGGGUACUUUUGCCAUUGACCAUCUUGAUCACUUGGACAAUGACAAAAAAUAGAAAACUGAGGUGCUGUACCAUUUAAAUAAAUGUCUGAAGAUGCUAUCACAGAUAGGUUGUUCCAGACUACUGGCACAUUUCCUGGUCUCAGCUAACCCCUGCUCUGCCAGCGUGGGAUGUUUUUCUAGCAAGUUGCUAACGUGCCAAGAAGCAUAUGUAUAUCUUUGUGAAUAUGGAAGUUAUUUUCCAAAUUUUACAGCUUCUGACCCAGAAACAGGAAUAUUCAUCACUGCAGCAUAAUUUCAGACCUGCCAAGAAUAUAUCAAUUAUGUCAUGUGGAUGUGCUAAGGGAAAGGAUGAAAGCGGGAGUACAGCAAUUCCCCCUGCUCCCUGCACUAGCUAUUCAGAGAGCGAUGAAGUACAUCCUUGUGCAGUAUGUGAGAUUGCCAGCCCCUGAAUUCACAAUGAAACUGGAGCAACUUGGCCAACAACUUGCUCUGCCAGAUCUCCUGAAAAAUGUUCUUUGAUGUCCUCCGACUAUGAAUGCAGAAGAAAUCUGGAGCCUCAGGAAGGUGUUCUGCACACUGUGACUGUUACAGUUUUGAGGGACACUUUGGUUCAAAGGAGGGGUUCUUAAUUAAGGGUAACUUGGGCUUCCUUCAGUGUGACUAGGUACACUUAAAGCAAGACGCUCCAAAGGAAGUUUACACCAGCAGCCAACACUUCACCACUGCCACCCUUCCCUUCUUGGCAUUAGAUGUUUCCCAAGAUAGCCACUGGUCAAAAACCCCAUGUAAACAUAGAAGCAAAGGGUUUAUAUAUUCCCUUAUUGAUUUUGAACUACACUUACUUCACCACAAACCUCUCAAGAGCCAUAAAGUUGCAAGGUGGGUUUUUUUCUGAUGUUUUAAACACAAUUUAAAGAAACAGGUACAUUUUGGCUAUGCUUUUGCUGUCAGUAUUGCCCCUUGACAGGACAGCAUUUGUCAAAUUCUCUAUGGAUAGUGGCUAUAUAUUCAUAGGAGGUGGCAGGUGCUGUCCUGUGAUCAAUGUUCUGCUGAAUAGACAUGUUUUUUGCAGAGAUAAACUACGGACUUCCUUAAUGGGCAAGUCCAGCUGCUCAGUUCUUGGCCUUUAUCUCCCAUGAUCAUUUGGGAGAGGGUGUAGUCUCUUGCUAUCAGGCAAACAGCAGUUUUUUCAGUUGCUUAUAAUUGUUCUGCAGAUUAUUCCAUAUUUGUAGAAGAUACCGCCUGCAAAUUUGUGAUUCAGAAGAAAUUCCUAAUUACUGUUAAGUAAAAUUCUUACUGACCUGCUUCUGUAAUUGACUUUGUGAUCCUUCUGUGGGUAUCUGGCCGCCAUCAUGCUCAUUUUAAAGGUUUCCACAUCGAGAGAAGUCCUUUGCUUUUCUACACAGGUGUUCCAAAUUUUUUUGAAUCCAUGACAGAUUGCUCAGCCUAAGAAAAGCAAGGUAUUUUAUACUAUCUUGAUUUGCUGCACUUCUGAAUAGUUGAUGGUGUACAAAAAUUGAGUAGAGAAAAAAACAGAAAAAAAAUUUAAUUGCACAUUUUGUUCUUGUAUUUUUAGUAGUUCAGCAAUGUUUUUGGAUUGCUACACAUGAACUAUGGAAGGAAUGAAACUCAAAAUUGAUGGUAUAGUUGUCUGACAUUAGAUUGUAGUCUAGUCACACAUUUGAAUGGAAAUACUACUUAUGUAGUUAAAGUUAUUCAAAUACAUAGCUGUUUAAAAAACUAUAUAGCAAAACACUUUCAGGGUAGUUGACUUCAUUAUCUGCGUGCUUACCAUAACUGAGAGGUGAUCAAUAUUAUACUGAUGUUUGUUUGUUCUUACUGUAUAUUGAGACUCUGAAUCACUUACCUUUUACAGAAUAAAGAAGAUUAAAAACAAAAA